rnacentral:rRNA from 1 species
UACAGAGGGGGCAAGCGUUGUUCGGAAUUACUGGGCGUAAAGGGCGCGUAGGUGGCCUUCUAAGUCAUGCGUGAAAUCCCCGGGCUCAACCCGGGAACUGCGUCUGAUACUGGAAGGCUUGAAUCCGGGAGAGGGAUGCGGAAUUCCAGGUGUAGCGGUGAAAUGCGUAGAUAUCUGGAGGAACACCGGUGGCGAAGGCGGCAUCCUGGACCGGCAUUGACGCUGAAGCGCGAAAGCUAGGGGAGCGAACGGG